GCUGGGAGUGGUGACCCACCCCUGUAAUCCAGCUACUUGGAGGCUAAGUGUUGAGAAUGACUUGAGGUUGGGAGUUCUGGUGUGCUGUGUCCCACAUUGACUGGACGUCCGCGCUAAGCUCUGUAUCAAUAUGGGCACCCUGGGGGAGCCCGGGGUGGCCAGGUUAGUUAAGGAGGGGCGGACCGGGCCAGAGAGGAAACUCAACAGCCAGAAAGUCCCCGUGUAGAGCUGUGAUGGGAUCGCGCAUGAAGUGUGGGAGCUGCUUUAUGGCAGACCGAAAGUCACCUGCGAU
rnacentral:SRP_RNA from 1 species